rnacentral:sRNA from 1 species
GAAAAAACUCUAACUCGGUGGCCAGUUUUUGUUGACCACUUCAACCCGAGCGAAGCGAGAGAACGUUGCGUCAGCAACGGCCCGCAGGGCGAGCCACGCAGUGGCGAGUCAUCCUCUAUCACCGACCA